CGGAGAGGCGCUUUAGAAACCGAGCAAGAAGGGAAGCGACAACAGUCUAUCAUCCAUGUUCGGUUGGACCACUGCAGAUGCAUAGUGGUACAUAUCAAAUUUAUAGGACUCAAAAUUGAAGGAAGAUUCAAAGAUAAUGAGGGAACCUCACAGAAGUCUCAGAAUAUCCAACACACAUCCAGGUCUGUCUUCCUGCCAAUGCCAAAUUGCAGCUGCAGUGGCCCCAUCAAAGCACAAGCUAAACUGGAGGAGGGACUUCUUGCAGUUUUACCAGCAUCUCUGCAUCAUCUGCAUAGGAAAAGGGCAAAGUUAAGGGGAUGGGUCACCAUGGUUUGUCCAAAGAUGGUAUGUGGUCCAUGUAAACUUUUCCUGCUCAUGCAAUGACAAACCUUUUCCUAGAUAUGCUUUUUCCAUAUGAAGAUUUGGUAGGAGGACUGUACAUUUGUCCAGUUUCAUCAGAUUCAUGGAUGAAAACAAAUCAAAUCCAUAAACUAU